rfam:Candidatus Muproteobacteria bacterium RBG_16_65_31 RBG_16_scaffold_34065, whole genome shotgun sequence.
CGGGGUAUAGCGCAGCCUGGUAGCGCACCUGCUUUGGGAGCAGGGUGUCGGGGGUUCAAAUCCCUCUACCCCGA